AAAAACAAUGCUUUAAUCAUUAAACUUUUCCUACCAAAACCAUAUAAUUAAUUUAAAAUUUCUUCUGAAAUCAAAUAUUACAUAACAUGCCCUUUCAUCUAUCUUUCUCAUUUUUUUUUAUUUCCUCCUCCUCUGAUUUUGAUCGUCUCAAAUUCGCUUUUUCAGCGCACAUUCAUAUAUAUUGCAUGUGUUGUAGUCUAGUCAUUGCAAUAAAAUUAAAAGUACACCUUUAUCCGCAACCAAAAAAAAGAGAAAAAUAUAAUUUAAUGAUGGAAGAGAAGUGAAAUCUUGGCAACAACUUGUAGAAAGAGAGAGAAAAAGUAAAACAAGCAGAUAGUGGACUUGAAUAGGAUUAGCGGCCUUAUUUAAGUCUACGCCGCAAAUUAUCCUAAACCAGGGCAUUUUGGUUGGUUAUCUUGAGGUCUUCUUGGCAAAUCCAAGUACAUGAAAUUCUUUUGCUUGUCUUUUCUUCUUUUUUAAGUGUGCUUUGAAUUCUUUGAUCCACGGAGCUUCAUGAUUCAAUUGGACAAAUUUGGAGGAAGAAAUGCUGAUGGGGAACCUUUUGUGAGGUUUGUAGUGGUUGUGGAGGUUUGGAACCCAUCGGUCCAAUCUCGAAGCCCACCCUUGACACUUGAUCUUGAUGUCCAUCCUUUUUUGCCACAUUACAAGUAUGGGAGAUGAGGUGUGUUGGGAUCAGGGUUUCAUCGAGAGGCAACAUGAUUCUUGUAUUCCAUCAUUUUGAUUCUAGUGGAAUCUCUUUUCUAUCCUGUGGACAUAGGCUUCUGGACGAACUAUUUAUGCGUGUGCUGCAUUCUUUUUUCUCUCUAUUUUUUUGAAUGUUUUCAUUCUUCAUCCGUUUGAGUGCCCUAAGGACCUUGAUUUAUCAAGGUCUGUUCUAACAUUCUAUAUUGAUAUGAUUUGGUAUCCAUUCCAUUCGAUUUGAAAAGACACAAUGGAGCUAACCAAAAUCAAAUAUUAGAGCAAUUUGGUUGCUCAACAUACUUGCCUAAUUACAUCCAUCCUUUACUCAACCUGGCUGCUCUAUUGCCCAAAAAGAGAGCCAUUUCACUUGUAGUUCAUUCAUGUUUUUUAUUAUUCUGGAUUUAAUAUUAGACAUUGUUUUGGUUUCUGUGUUUCUUUCUUUUCUUUUUAUCGCAAAGAAGCAUGGUUUGAAUUUUCUGAAGAACAGACUCCCCACAAAUAAGUUCUGAAAAAUAGACAGCGAAAACAUCAAAGACAUCCUCUGAGAAGUUUACCUCUCAAAAGGAAACAUUUUAUCUUUAAUUUAAUUAACUAUGUGACUGAUUCAAUUCAACUUACCACCAACAAACGCAACUUUUUAAUUUGUUUAUCCAUGAGGAAAUCCUUCAUGGAGAUUCUUGAAAAGGUUUGUUGACAACUAUAGAUAUCCGAUCCAGCAGGACAUUCUACCUUUGAAGCCGUUGAGUACAAUAUUAUGAACGUUAGCAUCUAGUGUUUGUCUCAAGCGGCUUCUAACGCUACUUUCUUGGACAAGAUCCGCAGUUCCUGUAAUUUAUGGGAACCGUUCUUGAAUUCCUCAAGGCUGUCUUCUACAUCAAUUGAAACUUAACGAAGAACAUUUUUCAAGUCAACAUGGCUCUACCUAUAUUAACUAAUCCUGCACAAACAAAAAAACCUGCUCUAACCUUUCUUUUUUUUUUUCCGGUAAAACCUGCUCUUACCUUGCAGUUGGAUGGCUAAUGAAUACCUAAUCCCUUUGACCUCGCGCCCAACUGAUUCACCUAUCUGGAUUUUUAACUGUGCAAGGGAACGUGUUACCUUGACGCUAUGAUUGAAAGUAAUAAAAAAAGUUUAAUUAUAUAAAAAAUUUUAAUUCUUUUUGAAUUUUUUUAAUUUCAUUUUAAAUUUUUAUUUAAAACAAUUAGACCAUCCAAUUUUUAAAUUGGUCUAAUUCGAACUCUGUCUGCAAUUUUUGUUGCCUUGCCGUGGUGGAGUUGUCAUAUAACAAAGCUUUGAAACAUUUAAAAGGAGGUUAUAUAAGUAGGUUGUAUGACAUAACGUGACAAUUUUGUCACAGAUCAAUGAAAGUUACUGUCAAGAUUUAAACUGAAUUAAUUUGAAAGAUGGAUGAUUGAUUGCACUAAAUAAAAAUUCGAAAUGAAAUUAAAAUUUUUUAAAAAAUCAGUAUUUUUUUACAUAAUUAAGCCUUAACAAAAGUUAUCUUUAAAAGAUUUUUUUAAAAAAAAAUAAUGCUCAUGGUAUUUUUUGUCAUUUUCUUGAGUGGCAAUAUGACAUUUUUUAUAAAGUAAUCGUAUUGGUUAAGCUUUUUUAUUUUUUAUUUUUGGUUGGUGUUCGAACCGGCAGCCGGGACUUUGGAGUACAAGCAACCAAUACCAUCGGCCAAUAACAACUCUGUAACAACAGAACGUCCAUAACUUACCCAAAUAAUCCUAUUGAUGUAGUGUUCAAUCUCUGUUAGUUAAGAAUGUUCGAUGGAGGUCCAUAACUUAUCCCAAAUAAUCCUAUUGAUUAAGUGUUCAAUCUCUGUUAGUUAAGAAUGUUCUUUGGAUCGAUGGUAAUUGGUAACACAUGUUAUCCUAGUUAACACCUUGAUAUAAACUGGUAAAAUUAGCAUGGUUCUCAGGCUGAUUGAAAUUCUAGUGGCACUAGUUCUAUGUGAUUUUGGUCUAAACCCCCCUCCAUUAAUAAAAUAAUCUUGGCAUAAAUAUGUACCAACCUUAUUGCUUUCUUUUCCAUUACACUCAAUGAUGCAAUGAAAUGAAGCUUUUAGGUCGGAAUGCAACAUAUUCUUUGGGGGCAGGUAAAUUAGUUCUCUUCCAUAGGCCCAGGGCUUACCUACUAAAUAUCAUGCCAUACCUUGGAAGGCAAGGUUGGCUCAUCUGAUUGGAAAUUUUGGUGCUUUUGAACACUAUGCUUUCCUCACUCAAUAGACCAAUGCCAAGAUGGCAAUUUCAUCUGAUGUUACCACGCUUUAUGGUAGAAAAUUCUCGUUGGAAAGAAAAAAGUUAUCUCAUUAUUAAUUUGAUCAUUUCUCUUUGAAAAAGAGCACCUGUAUUAUUUCAAAGUGCACGAGAACAAAUCGCUGCUAAGACUAGCGAUCAACUUGCGUCUGCUCGCAGGGACAGAGAUCAGGACCUAUAAGCUGUUUGGCUUUUGCUACGGUCAAUGGCUUGUAGCCAAAGGAAUGGUUGCUACCUGCUUAGUAACUAAUAAUGUGACAUUUGUUUCAAAAGCGCAGAGGAAAAAUAUCAUCAAUUAGAAGGAUAUACCUCUUCAGCUUAUUUUUUUCUCACCUAGCUGAUGUUACAUUGGAAGAUGCCUUUAUUGCAAGAUGAGCCUAAAAACUAACAAGGUUCCAAGCCAUUCAACUCAUCAUUUCCAAGCCUUCAAAUGCAGAAAACUAUCCCUUUCACUUUCUCUUUUUUCAUGUUACAAGCCACCUCCUACUCCAACUAACUUAUUUUCAAGUAAUUAUAAACCGUUUCAUCAGAUACUUUUCAUCAACACUUCUUUCUUGUUUUUUUUUGGAUGUGGAUCUUCUCAAUUUGCAUGACACAAUAGGCUAGAUAUAAGAGAAAGCAACAAAAUAUAAACUGUAUAACAAAACUAAAAAAUGGGGUAUUGGUACAAAGAAAAUCCAAUUAAGGUUUUACACAAGCCUUCUAUUUGUAUACAUUGAAUCAUCAGUCUUUUGCAAGUAUAACAAUUUCAUGAAACCAUUGUAUAGCUUUCUAUGCACAAAAAAUGCCUCCUCAUGCUUGGACCCUCUAUUUAUGAUGCAUUCGACCCUGAUAUUUGGCUGCAAGAGCGAAAGAAUAUGUGGACAUACAUAUACUUAGACAAAUUAAGGUAACUAAAAGCUAUUUAAUAUUAUAGCUUUACAAGAAAAAGGGACAGUAGAUAACUUACUCUAGAAUGUUUUUCCAGCUGAUGUCAUUGUCCAAGCCACCUAGAUCUAGUCCUUCCCAAUCCUCCAAUGGAGUUGAGGCGUUUGAGUUGAUUGGGUCCUGCAUUUGAUCGGUUGAGGCAUUCUCUGGAGAAGCUGAGACCAAUGAAGGGGUGGAAUCGGCAGUUGGAAUGGCAGAGGAACUGAAUAACAGUGGAUUAGUGCUUUCAUCAUUACCAUCCAUUGCAUGCUCGGUGGUCGAGCAAGAACCAUGGAUUUGUGCCACCAUUUCUUGUUCCUUGAGGGGAACGCUUGAUUCAGGGUAAGCCUGAAGAUUAUUGGGUAACUGUGGAUUGCCUAAAUCUGAGAAGCCCGAGGUCAUUUGGAUUGGAUUCUGAGGAAGGCCGAGGAAGCCGUUCAUGAUCAGUCCCUCGAGCUGGCGGUUCAUUUGGAGGAGGUCGCCAAGAUUGUAGUUUUGAAGGGAGGCUGAACCCAAAAGACUACUCCUCGAGUCCAUAUAAGGUGGCGAAUUAUUACCUACGAGCUGAAAAAGGCUUUGCAGGAUUUGGAGCCUGGCUAAGUUUGCAGCAUCUGCCUGCAGCCUAAGAACAUUAUCUAAAGGGCUGGUCAAGUUGCCAAGGUUCUUAGCAGCAGCAAGAAAAUUAGGAAGGCUUGCAAGGAGAUCCAAAUCAGUUCUAGGCCGAUGGGUUACCGGGUCGAUACCCAUGAGGAGGAGCUUCUUUCUGAGAUGGGUGUUCCAAUAGUUCUUGAUUUCAUUAUCCGUCCUCCCAGGCAGCUGGGUGGCUAUCGUCGACCACCUGCAAAAUUUAGCCGAGGUAGAGGCAUAAUUAUUUAACUUCGGAAAAGAAGAUUUCUCUAAAAAGAAUUAUGAAAAUUUUCAUUCUUCUCAUUUUAAACCUGCGUACAAAUACUAAUUCAUCAAGAAUUCUGAACUAUUAAUUGUUUCGUCGUUCUUGAAACAAUAGUUCAUCAUCUUAUGGAUUUUUCCAUUCUAAUAUUUUUUUCACUUCAGAGCUAAUAAUAGUUAUCUUUUCUAUAUUAGUUGGGGAGGUAACAGAUAUGGAUUUUUCUAUUCUAAUAUUGUUUAACUUCAGAGCUAAUAUAUAAUCAAUAAUUAUCGUUUUUAUAUUCAUUGAGGUGAUAACGGAUAGGAUGGCAAGGCAUAGCUUCUAAAAGUGAAGAACUAUAUCAGUCGAAGCUAAUCGUAUAAAAUAUAAGCUAAACAAAAGGGAAGUUGGCGAUUACUUGUUUCCAAGGACCGAAUGGAGGUGGAUAAUGAACCGUUCUUCAUCCUCCGAGAACUUCCCCCUCUUAAUACCCGGUCGGAGGUAGUUCGUCCACCGGAGGCGGCAGCUCUUCCCGCACCGAUUCAACCCUGCAUUCUUCGGUAGGUUCCUCCAGCUCCCAUGGCCAUGCUUCUGAAUGUACUCCACCAGCUUCUUGUCCUCCUCCGGCGUCCAUGGGCCUUUCUUCACACCGACCUCAUCACAGCAAGGAGACCUCCCCAUAUUAUUUCCUGCAAUUAAACCAAAGCCAAAGUUAAAAGAGGCUGCACAAGUGUCUCCUGCUUGCUUUGGGGAUGAGAUUAAAAACCAACGUCGUCAACCUUAGACUGAGAGGAAUAAGAGAGAAGGUUAAUUCGGUGGGAGGAUUGGCCAGGUGAUGUGCUGGUUUUAUAGGGUUUUGGGCUGACCCUGGUCUGUCUCUUCCAAAUGUGAUAGGUGUACUUUUAACCCAUGGAUUUUACUUGCCCUUCGCCGACCAUCCAUCCAUACGAUGCUUUAGUUGUUAUCUUUGCCAUUUCCGAGCAUAGACGGUCGAGAAAGCUUGUGAUUAUAUAUUUAUAUAUCACAUGCAUCCACGUACCAUAUUCUGCAUGUAGUUAUUUUGCUCUCAUAAUAUAUGUUUUAAAGAUGGUGGGGUGACCGAUGGGGUUUUUAGGAAAUCCGGGUUUUUGUCCCUUGUACUAUAAGGCAGCCUUCGCCCUUUUUGAGGUAUGAGGGAAGGGCACGUAAACAAGAAAAUAUGGGAUGGGUUAGGUUUGAGGUCUGACAAGUGGCAUACAGUCAUGGCAGGUCGGCUAGGCCACAUUUUGUCAACUACAAGCAAGAGGGGAUUUUCCCACUCUAAUUACAUCAUAUUUCCAUUGUUCUUUUUUUUUUUAAAUUAGUUGCAUCAAUUAAAUUUCUAGUGUAGAUAUAUUACCAUUGUUGAGAUAAUCAAGAAAUUUAGCAUUGAGUUAGGGUAAGUUACACCCCUUUUUUUUUUCUUUUUUUUGGGUUAAAAGAUAAAUCUAGGCUGUGAUUGGUUGGACCAAGUGGUGCCCUAAUUCUCCCAAAAUGAGUACUGAGGCCUAAUAAUAUGUGGAGGCUGCUCUAAGUAAUCUUAUUAGCAAUUUUUUUUAAGUGUAAGAGCCACAUGGAUGUAGCCUAACAUGGCAUGAUAGUGACAUUAACAUUGGCUAUAAAAUUAGAUCAAGGACAUACGAUUUGUUGAAAAUAAAUUUGUAAAUCAAUUUGGAUUUGACUGGGCAAGUUCCCCUUGCUUGUUAACUUUGCACUGCCAUCAUCAUAACCCAUGGGUAAACACCACACCUAUGGAGUUAAUUAACACAUAUUAGGAUUCUACGUUUAGAGUUAUUUAGUGACAGCAAUACCUAAUCUCAUGGAUGCACAUGGAUUUAGCCUGCAGAAACGAUACAAACAAAAAGUACUAAUUCAGUUUCAAUUGCGUUUGUAAUUUAGUUGCUCAAAGUAUUACAAUGAUAAAAUGUAUUUCUUCUCCCUUCUUUUAGUGUAUUGAACUCAAUUCACUUUGAAAAAAGACUACUUGGUUUUUCACAAAACCUGAAAUUAAACAGUAACAACAUUUUUGUGAAACUUAUUGUUGGGUGGAUGUCUGGCCAAGAUACCAUCUUCCAAAACCUUUUCAGUACCACGCGAUGCAGCAGGAAGAAAGAAGAAAUAAAACAAAACAAUCAAAAUACGUGGAUCAGCCACAAAAGGACUCGCCUCCACGGGGCAUGUAAAUUUCACUAUGAAAAAAAAAAUUUUACAAGAGGAGACCUUACUCUCAAUCCUUGUACACCGAAUUUUCUCUCUUUAGAAAUUUUCCUCUCAAAAACUUUCUCUCUCUUAGAAGACCCCCUGAACUCCUGAAGUGACCGGCAUCCGCUGUCCAGGAGCCCUGCUCCUUCUCUCAUAGCAGCCUCACGCCUCUCUCUCCUUCUCUUCUCGAGUUCCGCACAGCUUUCUCUGCAAAAAACCAAUCACUUGUUUUCCUCUAUACAUCAUAGGCCCUUUUAAAGGGUUAAACAUGAUUUAGAUUAGGUUUAGGACUCCUUAAUCAACCCAAAUCAAGUCCCAAACCGUUGGAUCAAAAUUGAGAGUCAUGCACGCCCUCCGAUCGCGCUUCGAUCCACGGAAUAGUACCGUGGACUGCGAGAAACACGUGAGAAAUGCCCACGCGGUCCACAGACCCAUCUAUGGACCGCCCGAUUCACGGUGGAUCGGGGUACAGGCCCAGACAGGGCGCCUAGGCCCGGGCCGGCCCGCGCACGUGGGGCUGGGCCGCACCCGUGUACGGGCUGGGGCUGCGCGCCNNNNNNNNNNNNNNNNNNNNGCCUAUGGCCGCGCCGCUACAGCUCCACUGGCCCGUCGUCGGCUGCCGGCGGUCCUCCGCUGUCUCGAAUCUCAUGCCGACUUCAAAAGCUUAUAUCUCCUCCAUCCGAGCUCCAUUUGGGGUGAUCUUGAUUUCGUUGGACUCUGUUUUUUGUCGCGAACCUUGUUGUGGGCUCAAUGUGGACUGAAUCUCGAGGUAUCAAAUCCUAACAAUCUCCACCUCGACUCGAUAUUCGGCCUUCUCCAAACUUCAAGAGCUUCUGAAUAUCCUCGAUCCCAUGCCCUGGGGCAAUCGCCUGCUGAUCAUGGAUGGGCAAAUAUGGGAGUCGAGCCAGGCUGCUCGAUUCCAUCUCCAUCGUAUGCUGUGCUCCUCCUGACCUGAGACCUGCUCGGAGCAUCAUCCUGCGACAAUAGGAAUCUUACCUUACGACGUCGCCUCUCGUCCUCCCGAGUCUCCUGUCUCAUGCCCGAUCCGCCUCGUGGAGCUCUACCUCGCUCUGGACUCCGUCUGGCUCCCGAAGCUCCACUUCGCACUGGGCUCCCCGUCAGGUAAUAAUGUCCUCUGCUCUCCUUCUUCCCCUCCAGCAUAAUCUUAUCACCGCGUAGCACCCUCAGGAUUCCUCCAUCAGCUACCAUCCUGUAGCCUCUCGAAUCCAGUCUGCUAAGUGAGAUAAGAUUCCAUCUGAAAUUGGGUAUGUAUCAGACCUCCUUCAAUCUCCUCACUGCACCAUCAUGUGUCCUCCAGCUGACCGUCCCAAUACCUUUGAUCGCACAGCUCGAUCCAUCUGGCAGAUAUACAGUGCCCUCACUGUUCUCCAGGGAGUCAAACUGCUCCUCUCUGCAACAUACAUGAUAGGGGCAUGCAGAAUCUAAUAUCCACUGCUGGAAAGAAGUAAAUACCUUAUCAAAUAUCUCCAGAACAUCUCCAUCUGAAUCGCUGCUGGCCGUCGCUACAGCAGCCACUGUCCGAUUUUUGAGUUGAGGGCAAUCUCUGGCUAGAUGCCCCAACUCUUCACACCGGUAACACCUGGUUUUGCUCAAGUCCCUCCUAGAUUGGACCGCCCUCGUUGCGAUCUCCUAUCGCUCUGUCUACCAUCUCCUGCUCCUCCAGAAGCCACCAAAGCUGAGCUACCGCCACCUGAGCUCGAAACUGGGUUCUCCCUCCUGAGAACCUCAUUCUGGAGUAUCGCCGCGGUGAUCUCGUUCAUCUUGAUGGUGCUCUUCCCCACUAGAGGAGCAGUCACCAAGGACUCGUACGAAGGUGGAAGCGAUGCUAGCAAAAUCAGCGCCCUGAACUUCUCCUCAACAUUCUCACCAAUGCUGAGGAGGUCGAUGAGGAUCUUCUGGAAGUGGUUCAGAUGCUCCUGCAUGCUCUGUCCCUCAGUCAUCUGCAGUUGGUAGAACUGCCUCCAGAGGAAAAGAGUGUUGGUGAGAGACUUUGCCAUGUACAACUCCUCGAGCUUCGACCACAGCACCGUCGGAGAAGUCUCGCUCAGUACAUGGAUCACCACCUCAUCCGUCAGGUACAUACGGAUGGUACUCACCGCCUGCAUCUGUAGUCGUUUUCGAUCUCNNNNNNNNNNNNNNNNNNNNGGGUGGAUGUCUGGCCAGGACACCACCUCCCAAGACUUUUUCAGUACCAUACGAUGCAGCAGGAAGAAAGAAGAAAUAAAAUAAAACAAUCAAAAUACGUGGAUCAGCCAUAAAAGGGCUCGUCUCCACAGGACAUGCAAACUUCACUAUGAAAAAGAAAAUUUUACAAGAGGAGACCUCACCCUCAACCCUUGUACACCCAAUUCUCUCUCUAGAAGUUCCUCUCUCAAAAACUCUCUCUCUCUCUUGGAAGACCCCCUGAAUCCCUGAAGUGACCGACGUCCGCUGUCCAGGAGCCCUGCUCCUUCUCUCACAGCGGCCUCACGCCUCUCUCUCCUUCUCUUCUCGGGUUCCGCACGGCUUCCUCUACAAAAAAAACCAAUCACCUGUUUUCCUCUGUGCGUUACAGGCCCUUUUAAAGGGUUAAACAUAAUUUAGAUUUGGUUUAGGACUCCUUAAUCAACCCAAAUCAAGUCCCAAGCCGUUGGAUCAAGAUCGGGAGUCACCCACGCCCUCCGAUCGCACUCCGAUCCAUGGAAUAGUGCCGUGGACUGCGAGAAACACGUAGGAAACGCCCAUGCGGUCCACAGGCUCACCCGUGGACCGCCCGGUCCACGGUGGAUCAGGGUACAAGCCUAGGCAGGGUGCUUGGGCCAGGGCCGGNNNNNNNNNNNNNNNNNNNNNNNNNNNNNNNNNNNNNNNNNNNNNNNNNNNNNNNNNNNNNNNNNNNNNNNNNNNNNNNNNNNNNNNNNNNNNNNNNNNNNNNNNNNNNNNNNNNNNNNNNNNNNNNNNNNNNNNNNNNNNNNNNNNNNNNNNNNNNNNNNNNNNNNNNNNNNNNNNNNNNNNNNNNNNNNNNNNNNNNNNNNNNNNNNNNNNNNNNNNNNNNNNNNNNNNNNNNNNNNNNNNNNNNNNNNNNNNNNNNNNNNNNNNNNNNNNNNNNNNNNNNNNNNNNNNNNNNNNNNNNNNNNNNNNNNNNNNNNNNNNNNNNNNNNNNNNNNNNNNNNNNNNNNNNNNNNNNNNNNNNNNNNNNNNNNNNNNNNNNNNNNNNNNNNNNNNNNNNNNNNNNNNNNNNNNNNNNNNNNNNNNNNNNNNNNNNNNNNNNNNNNNNNNNNNNNNNNNNNNNNNNNGCCGCCGGUGGUCCUCCACCGCCUCGUAUCUCGUGCCGAUUUUAAAAGCUCGUAUCUCUUCCAUCCGAGCUCCGUUUGGGAUGAUCUUGAUCUCCUUGGACUUCAUUUUUCGCCGCAAACCUUGCUGUGGGCUCAAUGUGAGCUAAAUCUCAAAGCGUCAAAUCCUAACACUUAUAACCUAUGUUCUGGUAGUGUUAACUCAUUUUCUUAGUUGCUGCCAAAUAGACCUAAUAAGAAGUAUUCCUGCCAAGUUGCCAACUUAUUGAUACGACUACCCUUCCAUCUUUAGUUCUAUUACAAACAAAGAGUACUAAUUCGGUUGCAUUGAAUUUGUUAUUUAGUUGCUCAAAAGUGUCACAAUGAUAAGAAAGUGUUUCUUCUCCCUUCUUUUGGUGUAUUGAACUCAGUUCCCAGACUAAGUUUUCCCAAAACCUGAAAACAGUAACAACGUCUCCGUGAAACUCACCUGUUAUCUGAUGGUGUUAACUUAUUUUCUUAGUGGUUAUCAAAUAGCCCUAAUAAAGAAUAUUCCUGCCAAGUAGCCAACUUGUUGAUAUAACCACCCCUCUACCUUCAGUUCUAUUACAAACAAAGAGCACUAAAUUCAGUUUGAAUUGGGUUUGUUAUUUAGUUGCUCAAAAGUGUUUCUUCUUUUGGUGUAUUAUUGAACUCAGUUCCCCUUUGAAAAAGGGCUACUUGAUUUUCACAAAACCUGAAAACAGUAACAACGUAUCCAUGAAACUUACCUGUUAUUUGGUGGUCUUGACUUAUUUUCUCAGCGGCUAUCAAAUAUUCCUGCCAAGUUGCCAACUUGUUGAUACGGCCAGUACCCCGCCACCUUCAGUUCUAUUACAAACAAAGAGUACAAAUUCAGUUUGAAUUGGGUUUGUUAUUUAGUUGCUCAAAAGUGUUACAAUGACAAGAAAGUAUUUCUUCUCCCUUUUUUGGGUGUAUUGAACUCAGUGUCCCUUUGAAAAAAGACUACUUGGUCUUCACAAAACCUGAAAACAGGAAUGUCUCCAUGAAUUUACCAGUUAUCUGAUGGUGUUAACUCAUUUUCUUAGUGGCUAUCAAAUAGCCCUGGCUAAUAAGGAGUAUGCCUGCCAAGUUACCAACUUGUUGAUAUAUAUGACCAACCCUUCACCUUCAGUUCCAUCCUCGCUCUGUCAAUAUUCAAGCUCCUUGAUCUUUGGGAGGUGAUCAUCUGGACAUUUGCAGAGCGAGUGAAUGUAUAAAACGUAGAAAAAGAAAUCAGAUGCUCUCAUAAUCAGCCUAAUCCUUUCUUGAAGUCGCUAAUAUGCAAAUUAUCAUUGCCUUUUAUAAUUUGUUUAGCUCUUCACCCAACAAUGUUUAUAAUAGUAGAGGCAGCCAACCUCCACGCCAUUUUGCUUACUGGUCCAUGGCCACCUCAGAUAGUAAGAAAGACUGAUCAAUUUAGACCAUCCAUGACAUGAUUGAAGACCAUAAAAUGGUGUUUUUCUUAAUAUGUUCAUGAACUAACGAAUUCAACAUAUGAUGAAAAAUAAAUUAUGGUUAGGUUUAAAACAUUUGGACUGGCAGAACAUAGACGACUGCCAACCUCAUUUCUGAGGGGAGUUUGUCAACGAUAAUCCUCAGAGACUGUCAUCCUAUCAUUGGCUUGACGAAUGACCGAAAACAAUAAUAGUGGGUCUAUCAUUUGAAACUGCCUUCCAUUUUCAAAAUUGCUGAACAAAGAAUUCACCUUAGGGUAGGCUGGAGAUUUUUCGGUCCAUUAUUAUGCCACGGUGCUCUUCAUUUAACAUUGGAAAUCAAUCUACUGUCUGCUCCUUAUCUCACAGAGAAAACCCCAUAUAGAUGGACGUCUUCCACCGAGAUCCUGCAUGAGAAUUAAGUGCUAGUGUUUUUUCUGUGUUUUUAAUAUGGGUCAAGUGUUUUUAAGGGGUAGAUGAACAAAUUCCUUAAAACGUCACACGCAAGGAGAAGAAAACGAAUUCUAAUAAAUUACCAAUUCAUUAGACAUCACAUAGAAUAUGAACACGGCUAUUUUUCUUUGCAAAACACAUUGCAGCACAUUUUUCAAUCUUCUUAUGGGUAGCUCAUGAAUUGGUAGAGGUAGGUAGAACCAUGGAUGCAUGGGACGGCGGUUAACACGACCAUAGGAGUUUGAACUCCUCAGGUACCUGCCAGUGAAGGGAAAAAGGUAAUAGAUGAAGACUUUUUUGCAGUGCAUAUUCUCUCUGACAUCUGACUAUCUAGUUAGAAAAUUCUUUUGAUAUAUGAUUAUCUUUUCAGAUUAUUUUGUCUUCAUGAUGCAGUCAUUAUCCGGUCUUUUUUUUCGAGGUAGCAUAAUUUUUUUCCAUGUUGAUUAACAAACAAAAAUGACUAUAUAUCUAUAUAACAUAUCUUAAACAUGCUAAUAAACUGGUGGCAAGCUUGUUAAUGUUAUGUUUGAGCCUUUAGGUGAAAAUUUAUGGAAAAUAGAUGCACGGGCAUAAAUUAUAUUACCCAUCAGACAGAAAAUGGAAGAUGGGAUAAACAGGAGUUUGGUGACAGUGGGAGCCAAUUUAAUUAUAUCCAAUAAAAGUAGCAACUGUAUAUUGGUUCUAACCAUGGGUAAGAACCUGUUUCUUAACAUCAAAUUUAAAGGACCUUGCUUCUCCUUAAACUGAUCAACAUAUUCUUUUCUCAAUAUUAGUCAUCUUCUUGAAAGUAUCUAAAAAAUUGCAUGACAAGUGUGCAUAUAUAACAUUUAUUCUUAAGAAUUUUCUUGUGGCAUCCCUGAUGCCGCGUUAGCUAGUCCAGCUUAGCCAAAAAUAGUACAACUUUACUUCGAUUUUCUUGGCUUUUCAUUUUCUUUCCUCUUCUUUUCUUUUAGUCGAGGAACUAGAAGCAUAUCCAUAUCACAAAGGAAGAACAUGGCAUCAAUUAGAUGCCCUAGAUGGGUGUCAUUAUUGUAUAAUUUAACAGUUGCCCUAUUUCGUAGCAGCUAAUCUAAGCAGUUAGGGAUAUAUAUUGUAUUAUUGGUCAUUGUAGACCCCUUUGAUCAUGUGCCUCUUUAGGUCCAUGUGCCAUGGUCUUUCUCACAUCAUCUCAAACAAAUGGUCAAUGUGAGGUGUUAUAAGAAAAUAAUGUUCCUUGGACCUGUAUCUUACUUGCUUUUCAUCUUACCUCAUGUAUUACAUCCAUCGGCCUCUUAUUGAUGACAAAGUAUUGGUUAGACCAUUCAACAUUACUUACCCAACCGAUCGAGAAGCUUUCCGACAAGCCACACAUUAUUACUUAAGAGUUUACUUCUCCAACUUUGCUACCUCAGUAUGAAAACGGAAGAAGACCACCCUGGUCUUAAUCAACUGGAAUAGACACAGCACCAUUUCCGUCUAGUACUUCUCUUAGUCUGUGACUUCAGGAUGACUUCAUCAGAGAUUUGGCAAUUGGAAUGGCGGCCCAAAUUGUUUAGUACCUCGUGAAAUUUUUUGUGCACCGCGCAUGGUGCAGAAAAUUCGACAUUGAGUGCACUAUCUUAUUCGAUUGGUACAUAUAGUCAUCAUUUUUCAACAUGCAUUUAAUGUCUAUAGUUCUUUUUUUUACUUAAAAAUUUUUGAUGACAAAAAUAUCCCUGCUCUUUAAAAAAAAUUAUGACAUCUUAUGGCAUAUUAUGACAUCCUGCAUCGUAUUAUGACAUCCUGUGUAAAAAAGUUAUGACAUACUGUGGCAUAUUAUGUUUUCGUAUACAUACGAAAUCAUAAUUUAGCUCAGGAUGUUACAAUAUGGAAGGGAUAUUUUUGUCCGACCACUUUCCAACGUGCAUUUAAUGACUGUAGCUUUAUUUUUUUUAAAAAAAAUUUAAAUGAUGAAAAUAUCUUUAUUGUUUGAAAAAAAUUGUGAUAUCCUGUGUAUAUUAUGACAUUCUGCAUUAUAUUAUGACAUUUUACGGAUAAAAAUUAUGACUUUCUGGAUGCAGGAUGUCAUAAUUUUUUUGAAGAACAGGGACAUUUUCAUCAUUCAAAAUUUUAAAUGAAAAAGUAAAAUUAUAGGCAUUAAAUAUGCGUUGAAAAGUGAUGGCUACGUAGACCAAUGGGAUAAAAUAGUGCACUUUACGUUGGAUUUUCUAAACUACCUGCGAUGCACAAAGAAUUUCUCAUAUUACCUCUAUCUCCUAGAACAAUUGCACAUGUUGAGGCUUCAAAUUUCCAUUUCUUCCCCUACAAGAACAUUAAGUACCAGCAUUUAUUCCAUUUCUAUUAGGAUCCAUUUGGUUGGGAGUAAUCUGGCAUGAAAGAAUGAAUAUAAAACAAAUAUUUGAUAUAAAAAAAAAAGAAAGAGAGAGAUGGUAAAAAAAAUGAUGGGCUCCAUGCUUAUUUUUCAGAGAGAGAAUAUAAAACAAAUAUCAUGGGAGAUUGAUAUUUGAUAAAUUCAAAAGUGAUGGUAAUCCAUACUCGAUAAAAAUAUCUCUAAUAAAGCUGCAUAUGUAAUCACUGAAUUUGAUUGAUAUCUUUUCAAAUAUAUUCAAUAGAGAGCUUUUGCAAAAAAAUUAAGAUAGAAAUGACAUUAUGUAAAGGGCUAUAUGAUUAUAGUCAUUAUAUAAAAACUAAUUGAAAAUGACAAUGCAAUUCUAGUAUUAAAAAAUUAUUCUAUAUUAAAGAAUAUAUUUAUAAAUUUGAUCAUAUUCCUAUAUAGAUUUACCUCCAACCAAAUGUUGUAUUCUCUUUCUAGUAUCAUUUUUCGAAGUAAUUUUUUCAUCAACCAAUAAUAAUAAAAAUUAUUUUUUUAUAAUUAUUUUUUAAAUAAAUAAUUUUUAAAAAUUAUUAGAUUAUCCUGUAAUUUAUCAUACGCCAAUCAAAUGAGUCCUAAGUUGUUGUUCUUUACAAAAUGUGACCUUAAUUGUAUGAUGUGCCUCUGUAGGAAAGGGAAAAGUGAAAAAGUAGAGUUACUGCACUAUGUAUUAAAUUGAAUUGAUUACACUUAUAAUCUUAAGUUUACAACAGAUUUUUAAUAAAUGUCAAAACUUUAAAAGUUAAAAUUUGAUCUUUUUUUUUCAAUUAUUUUAAUAUUAUCUUUCAUAACCGAUAACUUUAUCACACUAGAAGUUUAUGUUAGCCUUAUUCGAUAAUUAUAUGGUCAAUUAUAUGGUAGAAACCACUUAGAUAGAUGAUUGCAUGGCCGAUUAGUGAUAUCAUGAUAUGUGAGUGAUGACGUAGCAUAUCAGAUGAAAAUUUUUAUUUUGAUGUUGUGAUAUAUGAAUGAUAAUAUGACAUAUAGGUGAUGAUCCAUCAUAUGUUGUAAAAGUUUCUAUUCAAAAAUUUCUAAUUAUCUAAUAUCAUGUCAUUACUUAUAUAUCAUAUAAAAACAUAUGUGCAAUUUAGAGAAUUAAAAAUAUAAUUUAUGUACUUGGAUAAUGAUAUGGUAUUUGGUGAUUAGAUAUUUUUAAGCAAAAAAAUUCAUAGCAUGUACCAUCUCAUCUCCCAUACGUCAUUUCAUCAUUCAUAUAUUUUAUCAUUAAAAUAAAAAUUUUUAUAUAUCGGAUCAUCAUCAAUCGGUCAUGUAAUUAUCUAUUUAAAUAGUUUUUAUCAUGUAAUCACCAAUUAAUGCUAGUAAUAAAUUUUGAUAAGAAAAAAUAGCCGCAAUAUUUAAUAUAGUCCUCUAUAUUUUUUUUUUCCCCUCAAAAAUUACAAAAGACCAUUUAAACAAAUCCAAUCUUUUAAAAAUGUUGGUACCAUGAAGCCUACAGUUCUGAUUUAUCUAUGUACCUGUGAAAUCACUCCUUUGCCGGUUCAUGGUCACAUUUUCAUUGUUUGGACAGUUUUCUUGUUCCAUCAUAGCUUGGAAACAUAUCACGACCAUCAGAUUGGCGGACGACCCCUUUUUUUCAAAAAAAAAACUUUCAGAAUGCAAGCGAGAUUAAAAGACCAACCAAUGUCAUGAGUUAAUGAACGGGAUGCAACGACAACAUUGAACAUUGUAGUAGGCGACCCAUCCCCAUUUGAUAUAUCCUUGUGAUUGUAUUUGGUGCAUUAUCACAUAAUUUUAGAAGAUGAUAUGAAAUAUUUUAAAAAUAGAUUAUCAUCAUUAAAUUAUCAAUAAUAUUGAUUAUUAUAUUUGAUACAUAUAAAUAAUAUUAUAAUAAAAUUAUUGAAAAUCUUAAUUGACAUAUUUGGUAUGACAAUCAAAUUAUCAGUAAUAUAAACUUAAAAUUUUAAAAUAUUCUUAAUAAUUUUGUUUUGAUGUUUUUUUUUUGAUGAGCAGUAACGACAGUGAUGCGGAUAUGGUAAUGAUGUGGAGAAAUGAUGGGUUGAGAGUCGUGAGAAACCUCGGGCAUCGAGGGGUGGGGAGGGGGCGGGCAUGUGUGGAACUGUGGAGUUGGUGGAAAUAUGUAUGAAGGAGCCACGAAGGGGGUGAUAGGGGAUAACAGUCAUAGGCAGACAAAAGAAGAUGGAAGAACCGCGGGCUCGAGAUGCAUAUAGAGGAUGAGGGGGAGGGCAAUGGAUUAAAUGUGAUUUUUUUUAUAGAUUAUUUUAUUCAACCACCUCUCUUCAAGGCAAUUCAGAUUGUCUUAAAGAUAAUUUGAGUUGCCAAGAUAAUAUGAAUUAUCAUACAAAAAAUAUAUUAGAUAAUUAUCAUAUUAAAUUGUCAGCCUACCAAACACGGCCUAUAUACAAUAAUGCUAGUGAAUCCGGUUAUCAAAAAAUAAAAUAAAAUAAAAAUAAAUAAAAAUAAUACUCGCGAACCACAUAGACCCAAGACCGAGUCCCUUGGCUCAGGAGGCAGCCCUCCCUUCUCAAGUCUUCAGAAAAGAGCAGGCAUGUUCUUACAAGUCCCCACCGCCUUCGUAAUGGAUGAAGCAGGAUUGUUCCGACGGACCGCAUUUUGUAUGAUCUGAUUUUUGUUUCCUUACCCAUCUUUUAUCAUACAGAGUGCAUUUGUAGACGGAAGCUGAAUCCACUUCUGUAAUUUCGAAGAAUUCUUUUCUUGUUUAUUCUUUGUUGUACGACCAUGUUUAAUAAGAUUUGAUCUCUAUGUAAAUGCACAGUAUUCUUCUAGAUUUGUUAAAAGAAAAGAAAAGAAAAGAAAAGAAAAGAGAAAAAAAAAAAAAAAAAAAAAAGA
rnacentral:lncRNA from 1 species